AGCUGACCCAUCGGGUCUCAUCUGGUGAGCAGGGAAGUCUGCUUCCCCAUCCUGUGGUAGCCCAGACUCAGAUCCAAGCCAAGCGAACACAUUCAGCUGCGGUGAAAGAAAGAAUUGGCUUUGGGGAGAUUACCAAGUAAAUACAUGUUCACCUAGAGAGAGAAGAGGGAAAAAAAGGAUAUUUGGAAGCAGCAAGAGGUGUGACUUCGAGAGGAAGAGAAGCCACCAGGUCCCAGACACUACCAUGAUGCCGACCAGACUUCACUGGGCAGACAGUCCCACCAAGGUGUCCUGGAGCCCCACUUCCCCAGAGCCCCACCCCACUAGGGAAAGAGAGAGACAGGCUGGGAGUAUGGAUCGAUCUGUCAAUGCCCAUGUUCAGUGGGAAAGAAAUUACAGAAGCCAGACCUUCCACCUUCUGCACCCCAUAAUGAUCCUGGGUCCACACUCCCAGAGGGACAAAGAAUAGGAAAACUUUCAAGAGAGAAGAUUGUAUACAGACUUCUGGUGGUGGGAAUUAUAUGGAAUUGUACCCCUCUUAUCCUAUGGUCUUGUCAAUACUUCUAUUUUAUAAAUAAAAAAUAAAUAAAUAUAAAAAAGACAAAAAAAAGUCUUUUUUUUUUUUUUAAAUAAAAAUGUGGGCAAAUUGACUCUUUUAUCCAGAGCCACAGAGAGAUUUAACACAAUGCUGAUCAAGGCUGUCCCACAAAAUUUCUUUCUUUUUUUUUAAAUAGCCCUUAAUUUUUUUUUUUUUUACUUAUGCAUUACUGGAUAGAGACAGAGAGAAAUUGAGAGAGGAGGGGGGAUAGAGAGGGAAAGAGACAGAGAGAUACCUGCAGCCCUGAUUCACAACUUACAAAGCUUACCCCCUGUAGGUGGGUGCCAGGGGCUUGAACCCAGGUCCUUAUGCACUAUAG